AUGGAACAAUGGUUCCAGUUGGAGGAAAUUUCCAAAAGCAUUACCUUUACUGCUGAGCCGGAUGCCCUGAUUUGGCAGCUAGACAAUAAGGGGAAGUAUUCCUCUAGCUCCCUCUAUCAUGUUAUCAACUUUAGAGGGGUUCAACCCGUGUUUAUCCCUGCUAUCUGGAAAUUGAGAGUUCCCCCUAAAAUUCAUGUAUUUCUCUGGCUUCUCUCCAAAAACAAAUUGAUGACUAGGGAUAACCUUAGGAAGAGACACAUCAUCAAACCCCUUGAUUGUGUUUACUGCUUGGAACAAGAGUCUUGUUCUCACCUAUUUUUUGAAUGUAUAGUUGCUAAACAUCUCUGGGUCCACAUUGAGGAAUAUUUCUCUAGUUAG
rnacentral:rRNA from 1 species